CAAAAUUAAUUAACAGCGCAAGAAAAGACACGUCUCUUCUCCACAAUCAAGCGUGUUUCCCUUCUCCCAAAACACAACGGAUAAUCACAUCACUUAAAUCAACCAUCAAUCUCUCCUCUCUCGUUUUUCCUCCCCUUCCUCAUCUCUCUCCGCCAUGUUGGAACGGCUAGCAGCCAUAGCCGCCGCAUCCUGCCAUCCCCUACACAAGUUGCUUACUACUGUCGUCCCAUCCAUCACAUGAAUCGGCAGAAACAAGAGAGAAUAGUCCCGAAAUUACGCUAUUCCGCCAUCAAUGGCCUGGAGAAAGCUGCAAGGUGGAAAGAUUCUUUUCAAAAUUCGAGAUUCAAAUUUCAAACACUCUUAUCUUCUCACAUUUUUCUUAAAUUACCGUUUCGAAUCCACAAUUGGAGUCCGGGUUUCAGGCUAUAAAUAGUCGAAUCCUAUUUUACGUGAGCAGGGGCGGAGGAAGGUAAAAAAGAAAAAAAAAAAGAAAAAAAGAGGAACCAGUGAAAGGUUGGAAAGGAAAAAACAGAGCGGAGUGCAGAAAAAAGGGUCGGAGUAAAAUACCAGUGAAAACAAGUUGAAAAAAGAGAGAGAAAAAUGGGUCUCAAGAAUCGAAAGUCAUCUUCUUUUAGUUUGAGUGUGAAUUCGGAGUUGAGUUUUAGCCAUCGGAGUUUUGACGUUGGAGCCCAGUUUGCUGCACAACAAAAUACAAAAAGAAAAGUUUUUUUUUUUUUUUGGAACCAGGAAAACCCGCACCGCUACACCCUUCGAAUGCCCUCACUGUGUAGUAGCCUGCAAAUCACACAGAAGAUGCGAACCGCACAGGCUUGGCUCAUGGCUCAAAGGCAUUGAGGGGAAUAACCCAGUGAGGUUUGGGGAGGGUAAAGAUGUAUGCAAUCCAUACCUCUAGAAAGACUGUUUUCGAUAGAUCCCGGCUCGAGACAUGGAAUGCUAAACAAAUUCUGUUGGAAGCAAAAAAGAGGUUGAAAAUUAAUUUAUGUGGAGAACACUACUUGUUCCCUGCCAAUUAAGUUAUUUCGGUGUUCAGCCCAUUUUCUUAAAUAUACUGUUGUCUUCAUAUAUAAUCAUAUGCCGCUUAAAUUAAUGAUACGACAUGACGAGGUUGUGCGAAAAUGAUAGUAUGGAACUAUAUCAAGCCUAUUGUGGUAUCACCAUUUUAGUCCGAAAAUCAGUUUUGAUGAAAGGUAUUUUAGCGCUAGAUUUCUUUUGCAUCUAAAACUCAUAAAUGUGUAUUGUUUAUCCCGUUUGGGUGCAAUUGCUCGUCUCCAUAAAUACAAAAAUAUAUAUAGAAUUUUC